rnacentral:tRNA from 1 species
GCGCCCGUAGCUCAGCUGGAUAGAGCGACGGACUUCGAAUCCGUAGGCCGCAGGUUCGAGUCCUGUCGGACGCA